GAUGAACGCUGGCGGCGUGCAUAACACAUGCAAGUCGAACGAUGAAACUUAGUAGACUUCUCCGGGAAGACACUAAGCGGAUUAGUGGCGAACUGGUGAGUAACGCGCGAUUAGCCUGCCUUACACAAGGGGAUAGCCUUUGGAAACGAGGAAUAAUACUCUAUAACACCAUACAAGCACAUGCUACAAUGGUAAAAGUGAUAGCGGUGUAAGCUGGACUUGAGUCUGAUUAGCUAGUUGGUGAGAUAAAAGCUCACCAAGGCAACGAUCAGUAGCCGGCUUGAGAGAGUGUACGGCAACAUUGGGACAGAGACACGGCCCAGACUCCUACGGAAGGCAGAAGUGGGGAAUUUUGCACAAUGGGGGAAACCCUGAUGCAGCGACGCCGCGUGAUUUAGAAGGCCGUCGGGUUGUAAAAAUCUUUUGUAUAGGAAGAAAAUGACAGUACUAUACGAAUAAGGUCCGGCUAAUUACGUG
rnacentral:rRNA from 1 species